GAUGAAGAACGUAGUAAAAUGCGAUAAGUAAUGUGAAUUGCAGAAUUCAGUGAAUCAUCGAAUCUUUGAACGCACAUUGCGCCCGCCAGUAUUCUGGCGGGCAUGCCUGUUCGAGCGUCAUUUCAACCCUCAAGCACAGCUUGGUGUUGGGACUCGCUUUAAUUCGCGUUCCUCAAAUUGAUUGGCGGUCACGUCGAGCUUCCAUAGCGUAGUAGUAAAACCCUCGUUACUGGUAAUCGUCGCGGCCACGCCGUUAAACCCCAACUUCUGAAUGUUGACCUCGGAUCAGGUAGGAAUACCCGCUGAACUUAAGCAUAUCAAUAAGCGGAGGA
rnacentral:misc_RNA from 1 species